GUAAAAGUAGAAUUUAUAACAUUUACAUAUAUGUACGUUGUACGUGGUACGCAUUCCUUUAUCAUCUCGCCAUAAUUUUUCAUACGCUAUGAAUUGUGGGUUAACUAUUUUAAUUAUAUUAGUAAUUUUCAUUAUUCUGACUUUAAUUAUAACGUUAUAUAUUGAUGUAAAAAAAUUCCGAAAAGAGUUAAAAGAAUUAAAGGAAAAACAAAUAAAUGAAAAUUUUGAGUACGAAUAGAAGGUGUGAGGCUAUUAUUCGCAAGAGAGGAGGAAAUAUCUCAUAUUCAAGUUCAAAUUUUUAUUUUAUGUAAUCAUAAAAUUUAAUUAUUAAUAUUUAAAAAAAAAACAAUAUUUUUUUAGAUUUCAUCUAAUAAUUAUAAAUAAAAACCUAUUUUUAAAUAAAUGUGUAGAGUGUA